UCAGUAGCAGGAUUUUCUAACUAUUUUUAAAAAAGUUAGCUACAUGCCAUGAAAAAAAGGUUUCCUAAUCAGUUUGAAAAAUAAAUUGAGCCUAACAAGAUUUAGCAGGUGCAGACACACACACAGAGACAGAGCCAGUGGCCGGGUCUUCUGAAGACCACGAGGAAGGAAAUCCCUGGCAGCGUCUCAAAGAACACUUCAGCUUCAAGCAGAGAAGAGGAGACUGUGUAACUAUGGAAUGUAAGCUCUGCUUACCAAAGAUGGUGGAGGUGGCUGCCAACGAAAACUGCAUCAAACUUGAGGAAACAUGUAAUGGAUGGAGGCUGUGCCAGGCUAUUCGGCCCAUACACAAACCGACCCAUGGCCAACCUACGUUAAGACGUGUGUCUGUGUUACCCCAACCUACACACAGCUCAUCUGGCAUUCCUUUGGCAGCAAGAGCCUCUCGGUGGAUGCUGCAGUGUACCAAAGUGGCGUCGGGAGCAACUGCUUGCACGCGCGUUACCACUCCACUAUGUAUCCCUGUCACGCCAUCAGUACAGAUACCAACACAUCUUGACCACCAAAGUCCAUUUGAUGUCACAAAGCUGUCCAGUACUUUAAAAACAUCCUCUCAUGUUGUCCUGGUUUCCAGAAGAGGAUUUCUUCCUUUAUUGACCCCCCUAUAAACGUAACGGACAUAUACCAGGAGCUGUGCCACGCCCGCCAUGUCUGUUGACUCAUCUAGCUUUUACGCAUAUAAUUCACUGGCUUCUAUGCAAAGCAGUAAUUGUUUCAUCUCCUGCCAUGUCACUGCUGCGUCGUGAAACAGUGUUGUUUGAUGAAGGCAUUGUCUGUGUAGUUUUUUUUGGCCUUUUCCCCCAGCAUUGUCCCAGCCAUAUUCACGGCAGCAGGAAGAAUGAAGUCCUCCACAAUAGUAUGGGGCUUGCCAGUCCUAGCCACUCGGUAGCUCACCAUAUAAGACGCUUCUAGCCCCUUCUUAUUAAUGGUAUCUGUUGCUUUUAUACAUGUCUUUCUACUCGAAAGUAGUCUUAAUUCACGCUCAAAAAACUCCCGUAGCUUAUUUUUCAAAUUGGCAUGUUUUGUUUCUAAAUGUCUGCGCAAGAGUGGAGGUUUCAUCAGGUUGUGAGAUAGUACUUUUUCACAUAUAACACACUGUGGCUGAGGAAAGGCACUACUCCCAAUAUAUGUGAACCCCAAAUCAAUGUAGUUCGCCUCUUCGAUGGUCCAAUGUCCCUGUCUGUUCAGUGCUUUCCCGGGUAAGGGGGCAGUAGCUCUUCGCCUGCAUCAUAUUCACAACUGGCAGUGUCCAUGCUAGCUGGGCUAACAACAAAUGUAAAAUUACUGAUAUUAGCAUUGGAUGUGCUCGUGUAAGCAGAACAACUUGUGUCGUCGACAUGUGCAGGUGUAGUACUGCUGGUAGUAGUAGUACAAUCAGUAGAGCUGGUAUGUGUUUCUACGGAAGGAGCAGCAGCUACGUUUGGCUACAUACGGAUCGUGAGUGGAAUUCCUGCGAGAGAGUAAUGGUUAAUGUGAUUGGAUGUUAAUUAUUUGACUAGGCUACCUGUAUUUGACAUUGUGUUGUUAUUUCGCUGAACACUAGAUUGUUUAAUUUUAUUUUUGGCAGUGAAACGAGGCUACUUAGGCAAGAAAAAAAACUCACCCAAAUGUAUAGCCCCGUUGGAAAAUAUAAGUGGACUGUUUGCAAAUGUGAUUAUAUUUUUUGGUGUGUACCCCUGACGGCAUCGCUUACCCCAGUUUGGGAAUACCUGGCCUAUAUGAUAUGAGAACAGAAAUGUAAACAUGGGCAAAUGUGAUCAUGUAUGUCAUACUGAUACUCUACAGUCCUGCCAUGAUCAUUACCUUGUUUAUUAAUUAUUUAUCAAAUAUCUCCACAUCGAUCUAAAUACAUGUAUAUCAUUAAAUACUCAAAACCACGUUUUAUAAUCCGUACAGAUGGUACCUUAGUGGAGUGGUUCCCAAACUGUUGGGGAUAGGUCAGCGGGAGGGGUCCGGGGGUCCCCCCCAAAUAUAAAGGUGACAUUUUGAAAUUGCUGGAAGAGGGCCUGAGUGAAAAAGUUUAGGAACCCAAAUCAAAUAAAACAAAUGGUUAGCAGAUGUUAUUGCAAGUGUAGUGAAAUUCUUGUGCUUCUUGUUCCGACAGUGCAGCAAUAUGUAACAUGUAAUCUAACAAUUCCACAACAACGACCUAAUACACACAAUUCCAAGUAAAGGAAUGGAAUAAGAAUAUACACUACCGGUCAAAAGUUUUAGAAACAACUACUCAUUCAAGGGUUUUUCUUCAUUUUUACUAUUUUCUACAUUGUUCUAAAACUUUUCACCGGUAGUGUAAACAUAUGGAUAUGGAUGAGCAAUGACAGAGCGGCAUAGGCAAGAUGCAAUAGAUGGUAUAAAAUACAGUAUAUACAUAUGAGAUGAGUGAUGGAAGAUAUGUAAACAUUAUUAAAGUGAUUAGUGAUCCAUUUAUUAGUGGCCAGCAGACUCUGUGUUAGUGAUGGCUGUUUAACAGUCUGAUGGCCUUGAGAUAGAAGCUGUUUUUCAGUCUCUCGGUCCCAGCUUUGAUGCACCUGUGCUGACCUCACCUUCUGGAUGGUAGCAGGGUGAACAGGCAUUGGCUCGGGUGAUUGUUGUCCUUGAUGAUCUUUUUGGCCUUCCUGUGACAUCGGAUACUGUAGGUGUCCUGGAGGGCAGGUAGUUUACCCCCGGUGAUGCGUUGUGCAGACCUCACCACCCUCUGGAGAGCCUUGUGGUUGUGGGAGGUGCAGUUGCCGUACCAGGCGGUGAUACAGCCCGACAGGAUGCUCUCAAUCUGUAAAAGUUUGUGAGAGUUUUAGGUGACAAGCCAAAUUUAUUCAGCAUCCUGAUGUUGAAGAGGCACUGUGUGGGUGGACCAUUUCAGUUUGUCCGUGAUGUGUAUGCCGAGGAACUUAAAACUUUCCACCUUCUCCACUGCUGUCCCGUCGAUGUGGAUAGAGGGGUGUUGCCUCUGCUGUUUCCUGAAGUCCACGAUCAUCUUUUUUGUUUUGUUGACGUUGAGUGAGAGGUUGAUUUCCCGACACCACACUCCGAGUGCCAUCACCUCCUCCCUGUAGGCUGUCUUUUCGUUGUUGGUAAUCAAUCCAAUUACUGUUGUGUCAUCUGCAAACUUGAUGAUUGAGUUUGAGGCAUGCUUGGCCACGCAGUCAUGGGUGAACAAGAACUACAGUAGGGUGCUGAGCGUUGAGGAUCAGCGAAGUGGAGGUGUUGUUUCCUACCUUCACCACCUGGGGGCGGCCCGUCAGGAAGUCCAGGACCCAAUUGCACAGGGCAGGGUUGAGACCCAGGGCCUCAAGCUUAAUGAUGAGCUUGGAUGGUACUAUGGUGUUAGUCAAUGAACAGCAUUCUUACAUAGGUAUUCCCCUGCCUUUGUGUAAAGGGUCAUUAUUGAGGAAAAACAGAAGAGACAAUAACAGAACAUAAAUAAAAGCUUACUAUAAGGAAAUUUUCCACAGUCUCUCUCCUGGUUUUCUAUGAACAAGGUGGGAUUACGUUGUGACCAGCCACUCAACAGCACCUCUCAGAAAAACAUAACCCUCUCACUUUGUGUUUGUUGUUGGCUGGAGAGAGAGAGACUGCCUGCAGGUUAGACUGUGUGUGUGAGAGAAAGAGAGAGAGGGUGAGUGUGGCAGACAUACCUGUCAGUGCCACAGCUGGUUCUCUCUGUGGCUGCAGGGCUCUGGCUGGAGCAGUGUGACACCCAGAAUCACAGCACCGCACCACAGGGCCUGGGGUCCCGACACACACACAGAUGUAUGCAAAAAUAGAGCGCAUUGGCCUGAGGUCCAAAGACACCUUCUCCUGGCCCUAUCCCUUUCCACCUAUCACAGUGAGGCACCAUUACGUCCCCUCCCUUCUCCACAAUGAUCCCCCACUCUCCAGACAAAAUAAAGACAUAACACACCCAUGACAACAUUGGUAGCUAAGGCCCUUCCCUUUCUCUUUACACACACACCUGGAUCGUCCCCCUUCCCUAGGCAUUGUCACAUCCUGAUCUGUUUCACCUGUCCUUGUGCUUGUCUCCACCUCCUCCAGGUGUCACCCAUCUUCCCAAUUAAAUACAGGGUAUUUAAACCUGUGUUUUCUGUCUGUCUGUGCCAGUUCGUCUUGUAUGUUCCAAGUCAACCAGCAUGGUUUCCCCGUGCUCCUUCCUUUUCUAUUCUCUUUUGCUAGUCCUUCCGGUUUUGACCCUUGCCUGUUUUCUGGACUCUGUACGCGCCUGCCUGACCAUUCUGCCUGCCCUGACCUCGAGCCUGCCUGCCACACUGUAUCUCCUGGACUCUGAACUGGUUUUGACCUUUUGCCUGUCCACGUCCAUUCUCUUGCCUACCCCUUUUUGGAUUAUUAAUAAAUAUUAAAGACUCAAACCAUCUGCCUCCAGUGUCUGCAUCUGGGUCUCGCCUUGUAGGCUGAAACUCAGCCUCCAUAACCCCCUGCCAUCCUUAUGACUGUCACCUCUCCUCUAUGGAUGCUACAUGUCCCCUGUCACCGCCCACUCUCUCUGCUGGCACGGACAGCUUACGCACACACACCAACACACACAUACUGUACAUAAAACCCAUUGCACCUACUAGAGAGGUAGUAGACAAUGGAGGUCUGGAUUACCAUGGUUCUUAUCAGAAAACCUAAAACAUCCACCAAAAUAUGUGGGUAAACUCACAUGUGAACAGGACAGAACAGAUGGCAUGGCAAUGGAAGGACUAUCAUCUUGAAGAAGAGUGAGAAACACAAGAAGAGUGAGAAACACAAGAGUGAGCAAAGGAGAAAUAUGAAAC